GGAGAAUAUGACUAUUUAUCUCAGAACCAGAACUGUGAUCCAUGUCUUUGUUACCCCAGGAUCAGAGUACUGAGAGGUGCUUUGGUCCACAUGGAAGCAGAAUGCUUGAAGACAGAGAAAAUGGCUUUCAGGUGCCUAAAUUCCACUGAAAAUAAAAAAGAAUGAGACACCUCACUGCUAUCUUUUUCUGAAAAAAUCGUCCUUACUGAGGCACGAACUGAUGCUCAUUAAGCUCACUGGAAAGAGGAUUCAGCCUGAAAUUGUGGCCUCUAGAUGUCAUGAAACUACAAACUUCGCAGGUUCUUCUGAAGUGCUAGCUCAAGUUUGGAGCAGCCACAUGUUCAAGCCAGCAAAGGCCUUGAGGUAAGAAUGAUAAGAAUCCCUUCCUUCCUC